rnacentral:rRNA from 2 species
AGGUACUCCGGGGAUAACAGGCUGAUACCGCCCAAGAGUUCAUAUCGACGGCGGUGUUUGGCACCUCGAUGUCGGCUCAUCACAUCCUGGGGCUGAAGUAGGUCCCAAGGGUAUGGCUGUUCGCCAUUUAAAGUGGUACGCGAGCUGGGUUUAGAACGUCGUGAGACAGUUCGGUCCCUAUCUGCCGUGGGCGCUGGAGAACUGAGGGGGGCUGCUCCUAGUACGAGAGGACCGGAGUGGACGCAUCACUGGUGUUCGGGUUGUCAUGCCAAUGGCACUGCCCGGUAGCUAAAUGCGGAAGAGAUAAGUGCUGAAAGCAUCUAAGCACGAAACUUGCCCCGAGAUGAGUUCUCCCUGAGACUUAG